ACUGAGCGCGUUAGGGAUGGAAGCGGCAUCCUUUUUUGUUCCAUUUUUCGGAACAAAAAAGAUAUAGCGGACAGCCCGACCCUUG
rnacentral:sRNA from 1 species